UUAUUGUAGUUGUUCUUACAUGCGUGAGGUUUGAUAUCAUUGAUAAUUCCUCCGCUGAUGAUCUGUCUUUAGCUAAAUAUGGCGUCACCCCCA